UACGUAGGGUGCAAGCGUUAAUCGGAAUUACUGGGCGUAAAGCGUGCGCAGGCGGUGAUGUAAGUCAGUUGUGAAAUCCCCGGGCUCAACCUGGGAACUGCAUCUGUGACUGCAUCGCUGGAGUGCGGCAGAGGGGGAUGGAAUUCCGCGUGUAGCAGUGAAAUGCGUAGAUAUGCGGAGGAACACCGAUGGCGAGGGCAAUCCCCUGGGCCUGCACUGACGCUCAUGCACGAAAGCGUGGGGAGCAAACAGG
rnacentral:rRNA from 1 species